UACGGGAGGGCAUAGUCGUGCUCGGAAUCACUGGGCGUAAAGGGUGCGUAGGCGGGUCUUUAAGUCAGGGGUGAAAUCCUGGAGCUCAACUCCAGAACUGCCUUUGAUACUGGACGACUUGUAGUCGGGAGAGGUGAGUGGAACUGCGAGUGUAGAGGUGAAAAUUCGUAGAUAUUCGCAAGAACACCAGUGGCGAAGGCGGCUCACUGGCCCGAUACUGACGCUGAGGCACGAAAGCGUGGGGAGCAAACAGGG
rnacentral:rRNA from 1 species